rnacentral:rRNA from 1 species
UACAGAGGGUGCGAGCGUUGUUCGGAAUUAUUGGGCGUAAAGCGUACGCAGGCGGGCCGUUAAGUCGCAUGUGAAAUCCCGGGGCUCAACCCCGGAAGUGCAUGCGAAACUGGCGGUCUUGAAUACGGGAGAGGUGAGUGGAAUUCCAGGUGUAGCGGUGAAAUGCGUAGAUAUCUGGAGGAACACCGGUGGCGAAGGCGGCAUCCUGGACCGGCAUUGACGCUGAGGAGCGAAAGCCAGGGGAGCAAACGGG